UACGUAGGGGGCAAGCGUUGUCCGGAAUCAUUGGGCGUAAAGCGCGUGUAGGCGGCUCGGUAAGUCUGCUCUGAAAGCCUGGGGCUCAACCCUGGGAGGCGGGUGGAUACUGCUGAGCUCGAGUCCGGAAGAGGCGAGUGGAAUUCCUGGUGUAGCGGUGAAAUGCGCAGAUAUCAGGAAGAACACCCGUGGCGAAAGCGGCUCUCUGGAACGGUACUGACGCUGAGACGCGAAAGCGUGGGGAGCGAACAGG
rnacentral:rRNA from 1 species